rnacentral:rRNA from 1 species
GACGAACGCUGGCGGCGUGCUUAACACAUGCAAGUCGAACGGAAAGGCCCUGCUUUUGUGGGGUGCUCGAGUGGCGAACGGGUGAGUAACACGUGAGUAACCUGCCCUUGACUUUGGGAUAACUUCAGGAAACUGGGGCUAAUACCGGAUAGGAGCUCCUGCUGCAUGGUGGGGGUUGGAAAGUUUCGGCGGUUGGGGAUGGACUCGCGGCUUAUCAGCUUGUUGGUGGGGUAGUGGCUUACCAAGGCUUUGACGGGUAGCCGGCCUGAGAGGGUGACCGGCCUCAUUGGGACUGAGAUACGGCCCAGACUCCUACGGGAGGCAGCAGUGGGGAAUAUUGCACAAUGGGCGGAAGCCUGAUGCAGCAACGCCGCGUGCGGGAUGAAGGCCUUCGGGUUGUAAACCGCUUUCGCCUGUGACGAAGCGUGAGUGACGGUAAUGGGUAAAGAAGCACCGGCUAACUACGUG